AGGUCUUCCUUUCUCAGUUAUUCUCUUUUUUCUGCAAAAGAGCACCUUACAAAAGCAUUUUAGUAGAUUGGCAACAAGAUCUGUAGGCUGUAUUUUCUUUUCAUUGAAUUUCACUUUCGUACCUCGGAAAUCCCUGACUAAAAGGGCAGUCUAAUGCUGGGGGUAGCACUGGGCACGUCUCUAGAGCCAGAGGGUGUGCUGUCAUUGAACGUCAAAAUUUGAUUGGCUGAUGAUUCUGUCCCUAAUGCUCAUAACAAAUCAGAUAUGACUUCUUUCAUCAAAAGGGUAGCACCAUCUGUAGUGCUGGCCAUAGACUUUUUUUAAUGUAGGAUAUUCAGUCAAGUCAACCUCAACUUAACUAAUCACAAGCAAUUUGUGGAUAUUACACAAAUGAAAAUGAUAACUAAAUAAUCAGUAAAAACAUUUUUCACACAAUUUUGUUUUUUAUAGGGCCAGCAGAGAAGGCCCUGCUCACCCUGAAGGCCCACCACUGCUGUCAGACAACAUCUCCAAGAUGCUAUAAACUGCCGGACUAGAUAGCCAUCCCAAGGUUACUAGAGAUUACACCAGCUCCAAACUGAAUUCAAACUCACUUGUGAAGACUUCAGACGAUGCCAACGCUCACAAAGACUACAGACGACGGCGACUGUACAUGAACACACAAAACAUUGGACACACAAAACAAAUAUUAUCCUUAUUUUGCCUAUAAGGGUAAAUUUGAUGAUUUUCAACCUGCUUUAUUGCAAUGUCUCUUAUAUCUGUAAAUAAACAAUAUUUACUGUCUGAGUUAUGUGGAGCUACAUGUCCCCUUUUAUUUGUAAGCAGCACUCUGCAGGAUGAUGCAAAAUGAAAUGAGAAGUUUUGCGGAAAUGACACAAUGCAGUAUCUAAAUGAAAACAUGCUGUUUUGCAUCAGUUUUGCUGGCAAAUAAACUGUAUCUUGGAGAAAGAAUAAACAUUGUUCUUUUACAAAUGUUACCAACAUUGUAACAAUGCAAAAUGGAUUGAAUAUUUUUUUACUUACCCUUUAAAAUUUUUGAAAGACAAUGUUAAUGUUAACUGAACACAAAACUAGAGACUUGUUUAGUAAGAUUUUAUCAGAAAAUAUUUUAGAAUUUUUAUCAUGCAAUUUGACAUUUUAAUUGCUUAAUUAUUGUUUGGUUUUAUUUUGUGUUAAUGUAACUUUUUUAAAAGUUUUUGGCAUAAAGUUAGCCUGCAAUGCUGACAGCAAUGAAAACAUGACUUUUUAUUAUGAACUAGAACAUGGUCUUCCCCAGUCAGUCUCAGUCACCUCUGGCUUUUUAAACUGUAACCUUGAAACAUGCAUUUUCCGUAAACCUACUUUGAAAUAAGUAUUGUGAAAAAAUUGCUAUACUCAUACAACAUUUAACCAUGCAAGUACUGUAGUAAUGGUUAUUUUUGUUUUUACUAUAGUUUUACUGCAAAAGCUGUUGUAAAAUCAUGGUUAAUUUUCAAAAGACUACAAAUAACCCCGAAUUAUCCACUUUUGAUCAAAGCAUCUGGUAAAUGUUAAUGUAUUUGUACAUGUAAUAUGAAAUAAAUGAAAAUAUUAAUAAAGUGGCAUCGGUUCUUGA